rnacentral:rRNA from 1 species
UACGUAGGGUGCAAGCGUUGUCCGGAAUUAUUGGGCGUAAAGAGCUCGUAGGCGGUCUGUUGCGUCGGCUGUGAAACCCGGGGCUCAACCCCGGGCCUGCAGCCGAUACGGGCAGACUAGAGUUCGGCAGGGGAGACUGGAAUUCCUGGUGUAGCGGUGAAAUGCGCAGAUAUCGGGAGGAACACCGGUGGCGAAGGCGGUUCUCUGGGCCUUACCUGACGCUGAGGAGCGAAAGCGUGGGGAGCGAACAGG